AUGAACGCUGGCGGCGUGCCUAAUACAUGCAAGUCGCGCGAACAGACGAGGAGCUUGCUCCUCUGACGUUAGCGGCGGACGGGUGAGUAACACGUGGAUAACCUACCUAUAAGACUGGGAUAACUUCGGGAAACCGGAGCUAAUACCGGAUAAUAUAUUGAACCGCCUGGUUCAAUAGUGAAAGACGGUUUUGCUGUCACUUAUAGAUGGAUCCGCGCCGCAUUAGCUAGUUGGUAAGGUAACGGCUUACCAAGGCAACGAUGCGUAGCCGACCUGAGAGGGUGAUCGGCCACACUGGAACUGAGACACGGUCCAGACUCCUACGGGAGGCAGCAGUAGGGAAUCUUCCGCAAUGGGCGAAAGCCUGACGGAGCAACGCCGCGUGAGUGAUGAAGGUCUUCGGAUCGUAAAACUCUGUUAUUAGGGAAGAACAAAUGUGUAAGUAACUAUGCACGUCUUGACGGUACCUAAUCAGAAAGCCACGGCUAACUACGUG
rnacentral:rRNA from 1 species